CUGUGAUCUACGCUCAAAAUGUAGAUUACAGAGAACACCUCCAUGGAAUGCUGAGAUUCACCUCAUCCAAUUCUCUUCUAUCUAUAUGAGACUGGAAAUUUUUUUCAUACAAGUCUUUGACUUAUCAUGCCACAGAGGAAGACAAUUCAACCACUCCUGAUGAAUCCUAACAGACUAGGAUCAGAAGGAAAUGCAAAUCAAAAUGACCCUGAGAUUUCACCUGACACCAUCAGAAUGGCUGAGAUCAAAAACUCAAGUGACAACACAUGCUGGAGAAGAUGUGGAGAAAGGGGAAUCCUCCUCCAUUGUUGGUGGGAAUGUAAACUUUGGAAAUCAAUCUGGUGCUUCCUCAAUAACCAGUUAUACCACUCCUAGGCAUAUAUACAAAAUAUGCUCAAGUACACAACAAGGACAUUUGCUCAACCAUGUUUGUAGCAGCUUUAUUUGUAAUAGCUAGAAGCUGAACAAUUCAUGCCCCUCAGUUGAGGAAUGGAUACAGAAAUGUUGGUACAGCUACAAAAUGGAAUAUUACUCAGCAAUAAAAAAAAAGGAAAUUAUGAAAUUUUCAGGCAAAUGGUGGGAACUGGAAAAGAUCAUCCUAAGCAAGGUAUCCCAGUAGCAGAAAGACACACAGGGUAUAUACUCACUCAUAAGUGGCUAUUAGAUAUAUAAUAUAGGAUAAACAUAGUAAAAUCUGUACACCUAAAGAAACUAAUCAAGAAGGAGGACUCUGGCUAAGAUGCUCAAUCCCCAUUCAGAAAGGCAAAGAGGAUGGAGAUCAGAAGAGGGAAAAAACAGGGAACAGGACAGGAGCCUACCACAGAGGGCCUCUGAAAGGCUUUACCCUGUAGUGUAUCAGAGCAGAUACUGAGACUUAAAGCCAAACUUUGGACGGAGUGCAGGGAAACUUAAGAAAGAAAGGGGAGAUAGUAAGACCUGAAGAGGACAGGAGCUCUACAAGGAGAGCAACAGAACCAAAAAAUCUGGACACAGGGGUCUUUUCUGAGAUUGAUACUCCAACCAAGGACCAUUCAUGGAGAUAAUCUAGAACCCCUGCACAAAUGUAGUCCAUGGCAGUUCAGUCUCCAAGUGGGUUCCAUAUUAAUGGAAACAGGGUCUGUCUCUGACAUGAACUGAUUGGCCUGCUCUUUGAUCACAUCCCCCUGAGGGAGGAGCAAACUUACCAGGCCACAGAGGAAGACAAUGAUGAGACCUGAUAGACUAGGAUCAGAAGGAAUGAGAGGAGGAUCUCCUCUAUCAAUAGACUUGGA